AUAUGCUUCUUAGAUUUUUUCAUUGACGUUAAUAUCAAAAUAAGGGUCUUACUGUUUUGUCAUAAAUCGUGUAAAGCAUAUCUCCGACCCCAAAAAUUAUAUAUAUGUAUUCUUGAUCAACAGCUGAGCUUAUAUAAUCGGUUUCGUCUGUCUGUUCAAACUUGCCUCUGAGCAUAGAGCCGUCAACUGAACAACGCACGACCCGAAUACAACAUAAACGUUCGAAUAGAAGACUUUCUACGAAGAAGAGAAGACUCGUAGUAAAAUACUCCUUAAUACUUGUUCUAAUCAUCACAGAGGACCCGGAACUGUUCAAGCAACGCAUAGUUAUAUAAACCAACAACUAAGCGCUAAAGGUAUCAUAAGGUGUUAGUCUAGAAGGAACUUAGAAGUUUACUUAGCUAGUUAACCCAAAAGAGUCAAAUUCAACCGUAAUCCUUGAAUAAAUUUUAGUUAUAUAGAUGGAACUUAAAA